GUCCUAAGGUAAUGCUCCAUUGGGAGCUGUUGCCCCUCAGUAAGGAAACUUAUUGAGUGCAGCUGACUAUAUGCUGGAAACUCCGAGUAUCUGGUAGUACUCGUUGAAGAUGCUUUCGGGUUCUUCAACAGUGAAAAUCUAUCCAGUGCGGACAAUCAGCAGGAAACUUUCUAGGACGGAAAGGAUCCUCAGAGGCCAUACGUCGGCCAUCCUUAACUAAUUAACCAAUUAGAUAAACGCGGAGCGUUUAUGGGUGAAGAUAUGGUCCUAGCCCUAUGGCGACAUAGGG
rnacentral:ncRNA from 1 species